rnacentral:rRNA from 1 species
GUUAAAUGGCCGCAGUAUUUUGACUGUGCGAAGGUAGCAUAAUAAUUAGUUUUUUAAUUGAAAGCUGGAAUGAAUGAUUGGACGAGAAAAAAUCUGUCUCAAUUUUAUUUAAUUAGAACUUUAUUUUUAAGUAAAAAAGCUUAAAUAUUUUUAAAAGACGAGAAGACCCUAUAGAGUUUUAUAUGUUUAUUUUUAUUUAUUUUUUAGUAUUAUAGAAUUUAUAUAAUUAAAUAGUAUUUAGUUGGGGUGAUUAAAAAAUUAAUUUAACUUUUUUUUUAUUAUUACAUUAAUAUAUGAGUAAUUGAUCCAUUUUUUAUGAUUAUAAGAUUAAAUUACCUUAGGGAUAACAGCGUUAUUUUUUUUUAGAGUUCUUAUCGAAAAAAAAGUUUGCGACCUCGAUGUUGGAUUAAAAUUAAUAUUUGGUGAAGAAGCUAAGUUAUUAGGUCUGUUCGACCUUUAAAAUUUUACA